ACUCCUAGCGGGAGGCAGCAGUGGGGAAUAUUGCCACAAUGGGGGAAACCCUGAUGCAGCCAUGCCGCGUGUGUGAAGGAAGGCCUUCGGGUUGUAAAGCACUUUCAGUAGGGAGGAAGGUAGUGUAGUUAACACCUGCAUUCAUUUGACGUUACCUACAGAAGAAGCACCGGCUAACUCCGUGCCAGCAGCCGCGGUAAUACGGAGGGUGCGAGCGUUAAUCGGAAUUACUGGGCGUAAAGCGCAUGCAGGCGGCCUGUUAAGUCAGAUGUGAAAGCCCGGGGCUUAACCUCGG
rnacentral:rRNA from 1 species